rnacentral:rRNA from 1 species
UACGAAGGGGGCUAGCGUUGCUCGGAAUGACUGGGCGUAAAGGGCGCGUAGGCGGUUUGUACAGUCAGAUGUGAAAUUCCUGGGCUCAACCUGGGGGGCUGCAUUUGAUACGUAUGGACUGGAGUGAGGAAGAGGGUCGUGGAAUUCCCAGUGUAGAGGUGAAAUUCGUAGAUAUUGGGAAGAACACCGGUGGCGAAGGCGGCGACCUGGUCCUUUACUGACGCUGAGGCGCGAAAGCGUGGGGAGCAAACAGG